rnacentral:rRNA from 1 species
GUGGGGAAUAUUGGACAAUGGGCGAAAGCCUGAUCCAGCCAUGCCGCGUGUGUGAAGAAGGUCUUCGGAUUGUAAAGCACUUUAAGUUGGGAGGAAGGGCAGUAAGUUAAUACCUUGCUGUUUUGACGUUACCGACAGAAUAAGCACCGGCUAACUUCGUGCCAGCAGCCGCGGUAAUACGAAGGGUGCAAGCGUUAAUCGGAAUUACUGGGCGUAAAGCGCGCGUAGGUGGUUUUGUAAGUUGGAGGUGAAAUCCCCGGGCUCAACCUGGGAACUGCCUCCAAAACUGCAUGACUGGAGUACGGUAGAGGGUAGUAGAAUUUCCUGUGUAGCGGUGAAAUGCGUAGAUAUAGGAAGGAACACCAGUGGCGAAGGCGACUACCUGGACUGAUACUGACACUGAGGUGCGAAAGCGUGGGGAGCAAACAGGAUUAGAAACCCCAGUAGUCC